ACAAGCGGUGGAGCAUGUGGUUAAUUCGAAGCAACGCGAAGAACCUUACAGGUCUUGACAUCCCGAUGCUAUUUCUAGAGAUAGAAAGUUACUUCGGUACAUCGGUGACAGGUGGUGCAUGGUUGUCGUCAGCUCGUGUCGUGAGAUGUUGGGUUAAGUCCCGCAACGAGCGCAACCCCUAUUGUUAGUUGCCAUCAUUCAGUUGGGCACUCUAGCGGGACUGCCGGUAAUAAACCGGAGGAAGGUGGGAUGACGUCAAAUCAUCAUGCCCCUUAUGACCUGGGCUACACACGUGCUACAAUGGUUGGUACAACGAGUUGCGAGUCGGUGACGGCGAGCUAAUCUCUUAAAGCCAAUCUCAGUUCGGAUUGUAGGCUGCAACUCGCCUACAUGAAGUCGGAAUCGCUAGUAAUCGCGGAUCAGCACGCCGCGGUGAAUACGUUCCCGGGCCUU
rnacentral:rRNA from 1 species